CCUACGGGUGGCUGCAGUGAGGAAUAUUGGUCAAUGGGCGGAAGCCUGAACCAGCCAAGUAGCGUGCAGGAUGACUGCCCUACGGGUUGUAAACCGCUUUUGUACGGGAAUAACGCCACUUACGUGUAGGGCUUUGCAUGUACCGUAUGAAUAAGCAUCGGCUAACUCCGUGCCAGCAGCCGCGGUAAUACGGAAGGUCCGGGCGUUAUCCGGAUUUAUUGGGUUUAAAGGGUGCGUAGGCCGGGUUUCAAGCGUGCUGUUAAAUGUUGGGGCUCAACCCGGACCCUGCAGCGGGAACUGGUGUUCUUGAGUGGGCGGAAAGCAGGCGGAAUGCGUGGUGUAGCGGGGAAAUGCAUAGAUAUGACGAAGAACCCCGAUUGCGAAGGCAGCAUGCUGCAGCGGAACUGACGCUGAAGCUCGAAAGCGCGGGUAUCGAACAGGAUUAGAUACCCGAGUAGUC
rnacentral:rRNA from 1 species